rnacentral:lncRNA from 1 species
UUCUUUGGAUUCAAAGCAUCAUCCAAAAUGGCUGACUUCUGCUUAUGUGAAGAGACCAGGUGGCCCAGAAGGAGUACUGGGGGUGCUGAGAAUCACCCUCACUACCCAGAAGAUUUAUAUUUCUACCAAGGAAGAAGCCCUUGGAUGUGCUGGAUCUUUACAAAAUUAGGAUAAAGGAAAAUAACAACAGAAAAGAAGUGUUUGUGGUAUCAGUAAUGUGAAAAGAUGCAUAGCAACUAUGUCAAAAUUCUCUGAAUACAUUGAGAAAAUGUUGGGGUGUGCUGGGACCUUCCCGAAGGGUCUAUACUUUUGGAGUAGCCUGAGAUUUUUCUGAUUGUUAUAGGGAAAAAGAAUGAGAAUCUUCAAGCUGCUGCCAGGCAUGACACAUGCCAUAUCUACCCACAUGUCAUUGGACAAAACAAGUCAUAUAGGCACAUCCAAUUUCAUUAGGAUGAAGAUGUGUACUCCUACUUCAGUGAAGACUUUGGAGGAUCAUGUCCGCCAUGAUCACAUGGCCAGCAUAGAGACAACUCCUAGAAGAUGCUCAAGAAGAAUUCCAGCAUUGGAUGGUGGCUCCCAAAAUUGAGAAACCAUUGGCUUUAUCUCAACAACUUAAUGCCUGCUUCUCAGAGCUGUAGGGUUCUCCCUUGGUGUUUUUGGAUACUCCUGAGGUUACCUACAUCUGUGGCUGCUCAACAUCCUUAGAUAAAUGACUCAGUGCAUGUAAUUUAUGCAUAUCUUCUCAUGUACUUCAAGAAUCUCUAAAUUACUUAUAGUACCUAAUACAAUGUAAUGUUAUCUAAAUAGUUGUUUAGGAAUUAAUGACAAGGAAAAAAGCCUUUAUUCAAUACAGAUGCAUUUCUUCUUGUUUUUUACAAUAUUUUUGAUCAUGGUUGGUUGAAUCUGUAAUGCAAAAGCCUGACUGUAUUACAAAAUAUGCAGUUAUAUUUGUUACUGGCAGAAGAAAACACUAAGAAAACUACUUUUAUAAUAGUGACUCAUCAUGUGAAAGCAGGUAAGUCAAUAAAUUUAUCCAGGUCUUAGUCACAUGUACAAGGGAAAAAUAGAACAGAUGGUCUCUGAGGCAACGUUUUUCUGGUAGCCUAUGAAUCUUUAUAAAAUAGACUGAAGUGUCUAUGCAUGUAUAAAAUCAAAACAUGUUUACUAUAGACAAAGUUUGAAGUAUUCAAAAGCAGGAGAAGAAUGAAAAUUACCUCUGCAACAGCUAUGCUUUGAAUCUCACUAUUCUUUAGGGAGUAGCAUGGGAUCAUCAAAGAAUUUCAACUGGGAGUGUUUAAGCUUCCAAUCAUUAGCUAGUGAUCUUGUACAAAUUGUUUCAUUUUCCUGGAAUUCAGCUUUUUAAAACUUAGUUUUUACAGCUCAUUCAUUUGAGAUAACACAUUUGUGUUUUUUGGUCAAGAAAGAUAUUUUGACAUUACCUAAGGAAAAUAGUUCUAUCCUGGUACUGUACUUUGGAUAUUGAUCACAUAGGCAAAUAACAAAGCCUAUAAGAAAAAAAUCUAGACAAGAAGCUUACAGUUUGUUGGCGGCAAAAGGUCAGCAAACAGUAAGGAGCCUGCGUUUAAUAUGUCCACUUCACUACUUUUUACAGUCCUCGGGAUUUAACCCAGGCAAGGCCUUACAUAAGCUAGGCGAGUGCUCCACGUUUCCAGACCACUUCAUUACUCCUCAACGAAACUUUGCUAUAUCAUUUCAGUAGCUUAGCAGUAUAUUUUAAAUACAUGAACAAGCUAGAAAAGGUUAUAAGGCCUUGUUUAUAUAAGUAUAUUUUUAGCAGUCCUAUGUUAUUUAUGUUUUACAGAUAUGCUAUUAUGUUUCCUUUUUUAUAAAGUUUAAGACCACUAUGUGAAGGACAGAUGUGUUCUCAAACUUUGUUCUGUGGUGCUUUAGUCUGGUGAAGCCUGGUUUCUGAAGAGAAUGCAUAGAUCAAGAAGAUGGUAUAAUACAGGAGGCAACCAUGCCAACAAUCUUACUUUCGAUGACUCAUCGAAAUACCUUCAUAAUACCUUAUCAAUACUCAUCAUAAUAACUUAUUCUAAGCUAUUUUUUAAACAAAAAACAAUCCUUUAAGCUAGAGAGUUGGACAGUCUUAAGUGUGAAGCUGGCUUUUUAAAAAUUCUUAAUAGCCCUCUCUAUAAAUGGAAAAGGGUAAUAGACCACUCAUCAUUCUAGAUCUAUUUUAGUCUCUAGUAUUAUGCUUGUCUGAAAGUCCUAAAUCUGGCUGGGUGCAGACUUUUUAUUUUCCUGGGGAAUUCCCUCAGGCUUUUUCAACUCAACCUUGUAUAGAUGCACCUGUCCUCAGGUAGUGGUGUAGAAGGCAGGACCCUCAGGCAGACUUGUUUCUUUUCAUACAUAUUCAUAAACCUUUAUGCCUUCUCUAGUGGUAUACUUAAAAAGAGAUAUUCCAAACAAUUCAAUAGGUAGCUUCUGGAAAAGCAGUGCUUGAGAAUCAGCUUGGGGUUGCUAAAAUAAUGUGAUCACUCCAGGAAGCUAUGGGGUAAGACAGAUAGAAAAUACUUUUUGUUGUUGUCAAAGCACAGAAAACUAAGGUACUGCACAAUUUAAAUAUGUCUUGGCUUAUCUUUUCCCCUUCAAGAUGGCAAGCCUGUAGGAGAUAAUCCUUCUUCCUUACACACUUACUUAGUUUAAACAUUUAGCCCAAGCUAUGUAAUGGGACUUGGAAAAACCAACAGUACUACAAUAUGUUAUUUGCAAACAGUUCCUUAUGGUUGAUUAAUCAAUUGAAAAAUCCUACCACAGGGGCUUCUUAAUUGGUGAUCUUCUUGCUGACUCUCUGUUGGGUCAUUUACACUGUCAACCUGACUAUUCAUUUCAACUGUAACCAGAAAGGAAAACAAUAAAGGUUAAAUAUUUAUUAAAUAAAUCUCUUAAACAUAUUAAUAUGGCAUAUGAUUUGAUACUUUCUUGAUUUUUUUCUUGUAUGCCUUUUCUCAGUUUGUUUUCAUUCCUUCA